AGAAGGAGAAAGAAGGAGAAAAAUUCGGAGUACUGGUCUCGCUCGCAUUAAUGCAGCUCCCGCGUGUGCAGGUGAUGAUGCGCUGGAAGAGGAGCGGGCGCCAUCUUGGCUGCUGCGUUUUUGAGAGGCCUUCGGCUGGGACCCGUAGAAGUCCGUGAGCUGCAGCGGUUGCUGCUUAGUUCUCCUCCUGGACAUUGUAGGAAUGGCCGUCG